rfam:Nelumbo nucifera unplaced genomic scaffold scaffold00328, whole genome shotgun sequence
GCUUUCAUAGCUCACUUGGUUAGAGCACCCGUUUAGUAAGCGGGAGGUCUUGAAUUCAAAUCUCAAUGAAAGCA